CCUACGGGAGGCAGCAGUGGGGAAUCUUGCGCAAUGGGCGAAAGCCUGACGCAGCAACGCCGCGUGCGGGAUGACGGCCUUCGGGUUGUAAACCGCUUUCAGCAGGGACGAAAUUGACGGUACCUGCAGAAGAAGCCCCGGCCAACUACGUGCCAGCAGCCGCGGUAAUACGUAGGGGGCGAGCGUUGUCCGGAUUCAUUGGGCGUAAAGCGCUUUAAGGCGGUUCGCUAAGUCGGGUGUGAAACCUCCAGGCUCAACCUGGAGACGCCACUCGAUACUGGCGUGACUAGAGUUCGGUAGGGGAUCACGGAAUUCCUGGUGUAGCGGUGAAAUGCGCAGAUAUCAGGAGGAACACCGGUGGCGAAGGCGGUGAUCUGGGCCGACACUGACGCUGUAGAGCGAAAGCGUGGGGAGCGAACAGGAUUAGAUACCCUGGUAGUCCACGCCGUAAACGUUGGGCACUAGGUGUGGGGGAUUAUCAACGUCCUCCGUGCCGUAGCUAACGCAUUAAGUGCCCCGCCUGGGGAGUACGGCCGCAAGGCUAAAACUCAAAGGAAUUGACGGGGGCCCGCACAAGCGGCGGAGCAUGUUGCUUAAUUCGAUGCAACGCGAAGAACCUUACCUGGGUUUGACAUGUGGGGAAAAGCCGCAGAGAUGCGGUGUCCUUCGGGGUCCCACACAGGUGGUGCAUGGCUGUCGUCAGCUCGUGUCGCGAGAUGUUGGGUUAAGUCCCGCAACGAGCGCAGCCCUUGUCCUAUGUUGCCAGCGGGUAAUGCCGGGGACUCGUACGAGACUGCCGGGGUCAACUCGGAGGAAGGUGGGGAUGACGUCAAGUCUUCAUGCCCCUUAUAUCCAGGGCUGCAAACAUGCUACAAUGGCCGGUACAAGGGCUGCUAUUCCGCGAGGAUGAGCGAAUCCCAAAAAGCUCGGC
rnacentral:rRNA from 1 species